rnacentral:lncRNA from 1 species
AGGUAGAUUUCUAUAGAAGAAUGAUAACCUGAGAGCCAAGAACGAUUGCAUCUUUUUCCAGUAAGCGUCAGAUAACUCGUAAGGUUGAGAAUUUCUCUGCCUCAAUGUAACGUCUUUUUCUCUGCUGUGCACCCACUCCAUUAUGUGUUACAAAACUAAAUAUAAUAUGCUUGCUAGGACUAACCUUAAUAAAAUUUGACUCCAAGACUCCCUCUUGCCAUAUAUUCAGUUAAACAAAAUUGUUAAACUACCGAGAGUCUAUACUUUCUUACAAGUGAGGAAAACUUUCACAAGAAACUCAGAUGCUUAUUGAAAUGUAUCUUAAUGAAUCGUCCAACUUGCAAGAUCGAUUUGUAGUUAUAAUCACGUCUAAUUUCGUUGAAUUAUGACUUUUUUCAAGGGAUUGAUAAUUCCGACUCGUUUGUAGUGGAAUUAUAUCUGCAUUGCAUCACUUUUUUUAGUAUAAUUAUGGAGAAUUUUUUUCAAGGGAGUGAAGUUAUAAAAAUUCAUGGUCGACACAAAAGCUCAUUAAUUCUGUUUGAUAGACUUGUGAAUUUCAUGUAACUUUUAAUGCAUUUAUAUGUUGCAAAUUUGUAUGAUACAAGUUUUUCCUCCAAGUCAUUGGUGGUUUAUUUGUUAAUUUGUUCAGCCAGGGAAGGAAUGGAACCAUCAAGUAUUGGGAUGUUGGAGAAGGGGGGGUUCUCCAGGUACUUAUCUAUCUCUGUAAUGCCGUUGUCCAUCUCAAGUUGGGAUGUGAGUUGUGCUGUUUCAGAACAAUAUAUUGUCUGCUUAGAACCUGACUUUUGACAAUGACUAUUAGAAAUAGUUAAUGGCUUCCUUCCUAUGUACACUGAGCUCUAGGUGCCAUGUACUUAAUGAAAAAAGAUUUUGUUUAUUGAACGCAAAUAUGUUAUAUUUGCAUAACACUACAAAAUUACCAAAUUGAUUCUAUGAAAAUUAAUUGUAGAAGAGUAGAAUUAUAAUUUAAUUUCAUCAUCCACAGUUAAAAUAACUUGGAAAAUUGCAUCUAAUAAAAUAUACUAAAGUAUAGUUUCAGGAAAAAAGGUUACC